rnacentral:rRNA from 1 species
AUUGAACGCUGGCGGCAGGCCUAACACAUGCAAGUCGAACGGUAGCAGGAAGAAGCUUGCUUCUUUGCUGACGAGUGGCGGACGGGUGAGUAAUGUCUGGGAAACUGCCUGAUGGAGGGGGAUAACUACUGGAAACGGUAGCUAAUACCGCAUAACGUCGCAAGACCAAAGAGGGGGACCUUCGGGCCUCUUGCCAUCAGAUGUGCCCAGAUGGGAUUAGCUAGUAGGUGGGGUAACGGCUCACCUAGGCGACGAUCCCUAGCUGGUCUGCGAGGAUGACCAGCCAAACUGGAAAUGAGACACGGGCCAGACUCCUACGGGAGGCAGCAGUGGGGAAUAUUGCACAAUGGGCGCAAGCCUGAUGCGGCCAUGCCGCGUGUGUGAAGAAGGCUUUCGGGUUGUAAAGCACUUUCAGCGGGGAGGAAGGGGGAAUGGUUAAUAACCAUUGUCAUUGACGUUACCCGCAGAAGAAGCACCGGCUAACUCCGUGCCAGCAGCCGCCGUAA